GCUGGUGUGGCUCGGUGGUCAGAGCGCCGGCCCCUGUACCGAAGGGUCACGGGUUCGAUUCCCGGUCAAGGGCA
rnacentral:tRNA from 1 species